rnacentral:RNase_P_RNA from 1 species
GCGGUUGCGUGUUCCACCGCUGGCAUUUUGUGCUAGAGGAAAGUCCGGACAACGCAGAGCGCCAGGCUUUGGAAACAAAGACCGGGGGAACCCGGUAGAAAGUGCCACAGAAAAGAACCGGCCGCAAGGCCAAGGGUGAAAACGUGAGGUAAGAGCUCACGCGCUCCGAUGGUGACAUCGGUUUGGGGUAAACCUCCUGGGUUGCAAGGCCGUGUAUACCGGGGCAGCGUUGCUCGCGCGUUCCCGGGGGGUAGGCCGCUCAGAUAAAUGGUGGAAAUGCCGCAAGGCAUACAGAAUCUGGCUUACAGCGCAACCUUUUUU